rnacentral:misc_RNA from 1 species
UUUUAACAUACUAUAUACACAUAAAAUUUCGCACUAUAAUAAUCGUUAUUUUGAGUAUUAAAAUCAUUAUUAAAUAUUUGUUUCGUUAAUCCUAAAAUUGAAGUAUAAUUAUUAAACUGUUAACAAAAAAAUUGCGUUUAGAUUUCAUAAACAUAUCGUAAAGUGACCGGUUUACCCAACGACCGUACACAGGUGUCACUUGUAGUCUUGAAGCAUAACCAAUCAGCAAGCGACGAUACCUCAUCGUCAUUAUAUCAGGCUAGCACAUCGUCAUAGAAUUCAGUACUGUUUAAUCGUCUUUCGUAUUCGACUCAAGGAUGGAUGGGGUAGUACAGUAAUUGGAAAGGAAAUUAUUCUACAUGUAAAAGCUCUCGGUAUUAAGACUACAAAAGGAAGAACUGAUACAAAGUGGAAGACAGAGCUUUCGUUUGAGAAGCAUUGAUAGCAAUAUUCUUCUACGUCUACGUUCAUCGUCAUAGCAUGGGCAUUGCCGGAAGACAUGACUCAGAUCAUGAGAUUCUGCUUCGUAUUGACAAACACCGUCAAUAAUGAAAUCAAUUCUAACUAAUGAUCCGUUUAAACUAUAAAGAUUAGGACGGCAUUUGUUAACAAAGUAAACAAAAUCUCUAGAAAGUCCACGACCAGCAUACCAUGACUCACACUUAUCUUUAUGGAAAAAUCGAAAACGGUCUGUACCUUUAAUUAGAUCUUGCUCUUUGAUUAAACUGUUGGUGGACAAUUUUUUUUGAAUUUCGAAGUCCCUGAAGAAAUCAGUGAGCGGAAUCAUUCGGUUCGUCGUUUCUUUUCUGAGUAAUGUUAAACAUAUAGUACAUUUAUAUUGUGCAUGCGAGACCGAAGGAACGUAGAGUGAACACAAGCAUGAUAGCGAGAGCGAUUUGGGCAAGAGCGAUGCGCUUUUGUUAAUGCUAUAGGCCUCCUGUGAGAACCACAUCUUAAGAGGAGCAACACUAGUAGUGGUUUAUCGACCAAUCGCGUGGAGACAUGAUCGCGAGGAAGCGCGUCAACGGGAGUCGUAAAUUCCCGUUACGAUUAGAAUAAUCGACGCCACGAGCAGAUCGAUGCCCUAUUUCGAUUAAGAUAAUAGAGAUAGUUUUAACGAGUAGCACUUGAGAUCAAAGAUAUUAUAUAUAUCCAACAACUCGUAGAUACGAUGAUUACGCUCAUUGCGUAUAUAUAUAUAUGUCGGAG